AGACACUCGAAAGUACUCACAUUUCAAAGAGAAGAAGAAGGAAGAACAAGGUCCAUGGAGCCCAUUCCUCUCAUGACUCCCUAUCAAAUGGGUCCAUUCGAGUUUUCCCACAGGGUCGUGCUGGCGCCGAUGACGAGGUCGAGAUCGUACGGCAACUUCCCGCAGCCGCACGCCAUGCAGUACUACGCGCAGAGGGCCACGGAGGGUGGGCUCCUCAUCUCGGAGGCCACCGGCGUGUCGGCCGACGCGCAGGGGAUGAGCGCCAUCCCGCACACCCCUGGGAUCUGGACCAAGGAUCAGGUCCAGGCAUGGAGGCCCAUCGUGGACGCCGUGCACGCCAAGGGCGGCAUUUUCUUCUGCCAGAUCUGGCACGUUGGGCGAGCGUCCGACAUGCAGCAAGAACCCAUCUCCAGCACCGAUAAGCCGAUAGAGAGGACUCCAGAGAACUACUCCAUGGACUUCUCCACCCCCAGGAGCCUAACCGAGGAAGAGAUUCCCGAUAUCGUCAAUCAGUUCAGAAUUGCUGCCCGCAAUGCUCUUGAAGCCGGGUUCGACGGGGUGGAGCUGCACGCCGGGAACGGCUACCUGCUGGACCAGUUCAUGAAAGACAGCGUCAACGACCGCGCCGACGGCUACGGGGGCAGCCUUGAGAACCGCUGA
rnacentral:rRNA from 1 species